rnacentral:rRNA from 1 species
CCUACGGGUGGCAGCAGUGAGGAAUAUUGGUCAAUGGGCGCGAGCCUGAACCAGCCAAGUCGCGUGAGGGAGGACGGCCCUACGGGUUGUAAACCUCUUUUGCCGGGGAGCAACGGGCGUCACGUGUGGCGCCACUGAGAGUACCCGGAGAAAAAGCAUCGGCUAACUCCGUGCCAGCAGCCGCGGUAAUACGGAGGAUGCGAGCGUUAUCCGGAUUUAUUGGGUUUAAAGGGUUCGUAGGCGGAUCGUUAAGUCAGUGGUCAAAUCGCGGGGCUCAACCUCGCUCCGCCGUUGAAACUGGCGGUCUUGAGUGGGCGAGAAGUAUGCGGAAUGCGUGGUGUAGCGGUGAAAUGCAUAGAUAUCACGCAGAACUCCGAUUGCGAAGGCAGCAUACCGGCGCCCAACUGACGCUGAAGCACGAAAGCGUGGGUAUCGAACAGGAUUAGAUACCCUAGUAGUC